UCUCUCUCAUCACUUAGUUCUAUUAUUCUAAUUGGGAUUGGUGAAAAAAAUAAUAAAUAAAUAAAUAGAAAGGUUUGAAUUUUUUUUUUGCUAUAAGUAUAGUAGCCAUAUUGAGGGCUUUUCAUAUCAUAUCAUAUGCACAACUCAUGUCUCUUCUUCUUUCCCCCAUCACUUUCCCUCUCAAUUUUCUCUCCUCCCAAACACCAAACACCAGUUUCCAUAUCCCUUUUUGAUCCUCUUUGUAUUCUUCCACGGCUUUCUUGAACUGCAUUUCAUUAUCUCUCGUUUUCUUCGAAUUAUAUCCUUUUACACAAUACAUAUAUAUAUAUAUAUAUACAUAUUCCUCUUCCUAUGUAUUUCAAUGGCUGCAGUUCAAUAAAGCUGUGGGAAGAUACAAUAAAAGGAUCAACAAAAACAAAAAAAAAACAAGAAUUCUUCUUCUUCUUCUUCUUCUUCUUCUUCUUCAACCUAUGAAGAACGACUUGUAGGGUUCCUUUACAAAAAAUUGCAGGCUACAACCAAACAAACAGAAGAAAGGAACAAGGAAAGCAAUAAAAAAGAAAUAAAGAAGAAGAAAUUUCCCCAUUUGAUGGAAAUUAAAAAACAAAGAAUACAUAUUAUUUUUAUAAGAUGUAGAGAAAAAUAUAUUAAUUAAUUAUCUGUAUUUGUACUACCAUAUAUCUCUUCGUGUAUAUAUAUAUAAAUGUAGCUCUCUAUAAAGUAGCAACAAGUCACAGUCCAAUUUAAUUUACUGUCUCUUAUUUCCUCUCAUACAUAUAACAAAAAUGUUUCUUAUUUCA